rnacentral:rRNA from 1 species
CGGACGGGUGAGUAACGCGUGGGUAACCUGCCCUAUACAGGGGGAUAACAGUUAGAAAUGACUGCUAAUACCGCAUAAGCGCACAGGACCGCAUGGUUCGGUGUGAAAAACUGAGGUGGUAUAGGAUGGACCCGCGUCUGAUUAGCUUGUUGGUGGGGUAAUGGCCUACCAAGGCAACGAUCAGUAGCCGGCCUGAGAGGGUGAACGGCCACAUUGGGACUGAGACACGGCCCAAACUCCUACGGGAGGCAGCAG